GCUCACUGCUUGGGUCAGCCACUGUUUCUCAACUCGGAAGGUGGUUGUGGGGAUUUAAUGAGGAGGGGGAGAACCAUGAGCUCCUUGGCGGGGAAAGGGUGGAAUAUGAAUUCAGUAGAUGAUAGAUGAUAGAUAGAUAGAUAGCCUUUGACCCUCCAGGCUGAACUACAACUCUCAUCAGUCCCAGAAAGCAUGGUCAAUGGUCAGGGAUGGUGGGAGUUGCAGUUUAGCAAUAUCUGGAGCACCAAAGUUUCCCCAGUGCCAAGUCUCCCCCUCUAGGCUGUUAACCUCAUAUAUGAAAACAUUUUAGGACUAUAUGGUGCCUUUAUAUGUUCCCCUUUGCAGCUAAUAGCAGCUGGUGGAAUGCAGCAGGGAAGGGUGGGGGACAAAUUUAAUUUGGUUCACAUUUACAUUUUUUUUUCUGUUGUGAACCAGCCUAGGAUCUUUGGAUGAAGGGUUGUAUAUAAACUUAAUAAAUAAUAAUAAAUAAACAAUUUACAGGCAAGCCUGCUUAAUUUGCGCCAGCCAAAAGAAUUCAGAAACCAAAACAGAAGCCAUUUUUCAAAAUAUUGCACUUCUCCAAAUUUUGGAAGGCAGUUCUCCGGACAAGCCACAUGUCCAAAAAUGCAUGCCCUGGAUUGAAAUGUGUAUUAAAAGACAUCUGUUAGUAAAAACAGCACACAAAAUGUGUUAGGAUAAGGAAAAUCACUCUGAAAAAAUGUGGAUAUUCGGAGAAAUUCACACUAAGGUGCUUCAUGGAACGUUUAAAAACAACCCCAUAUAUUCAGAAAGUGAUUGAAAAUGUGGAUAAAUGAGGAACUGAAAGGAAACAAGGUGACAGAUCUGCCCAUCGCUAGCAGGGAGACAUUUGGAUCAGGGCUGCAGAGAGGGAAGGAAGGCUUGAGCCACAAAUACUCUGUGGUCCUGAUACCUGGAUGUGUGGGAAUGUGGGCUGGGGUUGAUGGCAGCUGGAGUCCAAGGAGAGCAAUAGCUUCCUCAAGGCCUGUUCUGUCAUGCCGGUAAUUCAUAGGUAUGUAUGUACAAGGAUGGGGAACCUGAGGACCUUCCAUCAGAUGUUGGCCACCACCACCAUUUGCCUCAGCCCAGAUGGCAAAAGGUCAAGGAUGAUGGGAGUUGUAGUCUAGCAACACCUGGAGAUCCACAGGGUCUCCUAGCCUGGUUGUAGACUGACCAUCGCUGGAAGGUAAGAAGUUCUCCAUCUGCACAGAAUAGGCACUAGCAUAGGGUACAUGUACCCAGAUCUCAUUUUGCAGAGAGUUCCUAUUUUUUGUGUGCUGGAAGUAAAUUACUGUGACUUGGCUGCGGUUGUGAAAACGUCCCACUUGCAGGUCUGUCCCCCCAGAAACACAAAGGUGCCUAUCAGUCUCCUUGCAGCACCUUCCUCAUCGCCAAGCUGACUGAUUUUCCCUCUUCUUCUUCUUCUUCUUCUUCUUCUUCUUCUUCUUCUUCUUCUUCUUCUUCCCCUUGCCGCCCUCCCUUGGGCAGCCUCCAAUCAGAGCAAUUGCCCAUCACGGCGCUGCUAUUCAUUUAGCUUUCAUCACGGCUCCCAUUUAAAAGCAACAAAAAUGAUUGACGAGCCAGGAGGGAGUCAGCCAUCAAGACAGAUUAGCAGGGCUAAAUACCAAAAGCUCAUCUCUGGGAGGCUGAGGAGAGGCAAGGGAAGGAAGUCAAACUAUAUAGGUGAAUAUUGGUGGGGAGAGCGAACGGGGGACGUAUGGUGUUGCCCAGCCAUGUGUUAUUAUGCCGGUGGGUUCAACACACCCUCUGCUACCUGUCACUGCUGAAGAAAGAGAAUCCUUGCAAAAGAGAGCUAAGGAACAAAGGGGAACCUGCAGACUGGGGUGUGUGUGUGUUUGUUUGGCAGCUGUCAUUGAUGCAACACAAGUGCAACCAUGGUUGAUUUAUACUGGACCACUAGCACAUCAUUUCACUUUGUUAGUUGUUUUGUGAUGCUUCUCCAGGUUAUCCCAUUAUUGCCAUCUGGAGCAGCACCCUUGAGCUUUGUUACCUUGCGUUAAUAAUAAAACUAAUAAAUUUUAUUUAUAUCCCGCCCUCCCCAGCCAAGACCGGGCUCAGGGCGGCUGACACCAGGUAUAAAACAAUUGAUUAAAAUACAACUUAAAAACAAGAUUAAAAUACAACAUUAAAAUGCAGCCUGAUUUCAGUAGAAACUCAAAUCAAAAACUUUUUGGGGAUGAAAACGUCAAAUCUUCACCAUGGCCAACUAUCCAUGGUCCUACAUGGGCCAGAAAAAAGCCAAGGAAGUCCCCAUACAGUGGUACCUUGGGUUAAGUACUUAAUUCGUUCCGGAGGUCCGUACUUAACCUGAAACUGUUCUUAACCUGAAGCACCACUUUAGCUAAUGGGGCCUCCUGCUGCUACCGCGCCGCCGGAGCACGAUUUCUAUUCUCAUCCUGAAGCAAAGUUCUUAACCUGAAGCACUAUUUCUGGGUUAGCGGAGUCUGUAACCUGAAGCAUAUGUAACCUGAAGCGUAUGUAACCCGAGGUACCACUGUAUAGGAGUUCCAUCACAGAAGGAGAAAGAAAAAAGGAUAGAGGGGAAGGGGAUCAAGUUGAUUCCAAGCCAAAGGCCAGGCGCAACAACUCUGAGGAAAGGUCCUGAGGAAAGAAAUCAGAUCCCGCAAAAGCAGUUACAAAAGCAAGACCUCAGAAAACCAAAUCCUGGAGCAUAAGCUGUGAUUCUUGCAUUACAGGGGGGUUGGACUAGAUGAUGAUUGGGGUUCCUUCCAGCCCUGCAACAGUAUGAUCUGUGGGUCACAUCAGUCCAUGGUGAGAUUUGCAGAGGUUGAGUUCCUCAAGCAUUCUGACUUCUCAGGCCUGUUGGUUGGGGCCAGACUGGCUUCCCCCUUGCAUCCUAAGAGGGAUGGCUCCAUGACAACCCCAUGGCCCUUCAUCUUAUGGGUGAUGGAUGGUGCUCAGCGCGCACUCCCCUUCAAUUCUCAUUGCCAGUUCUCACUGUGCAGAAGCAAAAAAUAUCCAGUGGACCUGCUGCUGGAUCUCUUGUUUCCUCCUUCCUCACCUGUAAACUUGUUUCAUGUGCUCUGUUGCAGGCAUGAAGCCAGCUGCACCAAGUCAACAAAACUUCACAGCAAAAAAAAUGCCACCAUCUGGCCUUCAGAGUACCAUCCUCAAAAACAAACUUAAUUAGCCCAUAAGUGGAAAUGCUAUAUCUGUCCCUUUAAUACCUGUUUGGGGGGCUGUCUCCUUUCCCUAUCCAGAUUGUGUCUCCGUCACCCUACCUUAGUAACCCUUCUGUAGAGGAAAAACUCAUUAAAAUCAUUCCGUUUUGCUGUUCAGAAACAAAUAAGAAUUCUCUCUAAUGCCGGCACAAAGGGGGUUGCAUUACUAAGAAAAUUAAAACUGUGUUAAUAUAUAACGCAGUUUUAAUUUUCUUACUAAUGCAGCCCCCUUUGUUCUGGCCAUAAGGGGAAUUCUUGCUUGUUUAUGGAGAGCAACAAUAUGAAACCUCAUCAGCAAGCUUAUUUGAUCUGCCACUUUGGUAUUACACAAUGAGCUGGAGGGUUGUGGGUUUGUAUUUUAUGUUCUCUUAUUGUGUCUGAAGUUUUUUGGUUUUUUUAACAAUGCCAAUUUUCUUCCUAAACAGAAUAAUUCAUAUGAAUUAUUCCGUUUAGGAAGAAAUUAGCAUUGUUAACAAUUGCAGGCCAGAAAGGGGGAGAACCUCCAAGCUCAUUGUGCAAAAUGAAAGUGAAGCAUAUGAAAAAAUCCCUCCACACCCUUCUCCUCUGCCAUUAUUAUUAUUAUUAUUAUUAUUAUUAUUAUUAUUAACAUGCCACCCAUUUGACUGGGUUGCCCCAGACACUCUGGGUGGCUCCCAACAAAAUAUUAAAAACACAGUAAAACAUCAACCAUUAAAAGCUUCCCCAUACAGAUGACUUCUAAAAGUCAAUAGUUGCUUAUUUCCUUGACAUCUGAUGGGAGGUCUGGUUCCCUGUAACCUCACUUCUCGCAGUGAGGGAACCGCCAGAAGGCCCUCAGAGCUGGACCUCAGUGUCCUGACUGAUCAAUGGGGUGAAGACACUCCUUCUCCAACCCUUAAUGUUUAUUCAACAUUCUGUGCUCAAAGAGCAGGCUCAGCCCCAUUGAGUUGUGUCGAGUGCGCGGUAAAAUCAGUAAUGAUUCAAUGGGCCAGGGAUUUUGGGUAUAAUAUACAAUUUGAUGAGUGGAAUAAAUUAUGGAAUGAAAGGAUAAAAUUUACAGCCUGUACUGCACUGAAAGAAAAUGUGAUGAAGAUGGUUUAUAGAUGGUAUAUCACUCCAGUAAAACUAGCAAAAAUGUAUAAAGUAAGUAAUAAAUGUUGGAAAUGUAAAGAAAAAGAAGGAAUAUUUUUCCAUAUGUGGUGGGAGUGUAAUAAGGUUAAAGUAUUCUGGGAACAGAUAUAUAAUGAGUUGAAAAAGAUGUUGAAAUAUACAUUUGCUAAAAAACUAGAAGCUUUUUUGUUAGGAAUGGUUGGAAAUGAAAUAAAUAGAAAAGAUCAGAAAUUAUUUCGAUAUGCAGUGACGGCAGCAAGGAUACUACUGGCCCAAAAAUGGAAACAGGAGGAACUACCAUCUAUAGAAGAGUGGAGGAUGAAAUUAACAGACUACGCAGAACUAGAUAAAUUAACAGGGAAAGUCCGAAACCAACAAGAUCACAAGUUCACUGAGGACUGGAGUAAAUUUGUGGAUUAUAUGAAAAGCAUAUGUGAUGAACAAAUAACGUUUGUGGGUUUACAGGAAGCUUUGUGAAGAAAUAUGUAUAGAAACAUUGUAAAAAAGGAAGAGGGGGAGUAGGUAGAUUUUAAGAUAAAAGACAAUGACAAAUUUUGAACUUGCAGUAUAAAGACGAGAACACGGAG